rnacentral:rRNA from 1 species
GGUUAAGCGACUAAGCGUACACGGUGGAUGCCCUGGCAGUCAGAGGCGAUGAAGGACGUGCUAAUCUGCGAUAAGCGUCGGUAAGGUGAUAUGAACCGUUAUAACCGGCGAUUUCCGAAUGGGGAAACCCAGUGUGUUUCGGCACACUAUCAUUAACUGAAUCCAUAGGUUAAUGAGGCGAACCGGGGGAACUGAAACAUCUAAGUACCCCGAGGAAAAGAAAUCAACCGAGAUUCCCCCAGUAGCGGCGAGCGAACGGGGAGGAGCCCAGAGCCUGAAUCAGUGUGUGUGUUAGUGGAAGCGUCUGGAAAGGCG